GACGAACGCUGGCGGCGUGCUUAACACAUGCAAGUCGAACGGAAAGGCCCUGCUUGCAGGGUACUCGAGUGGCGAACGGGUGAGUAACACGUGGGUGAUCUGCCCUGCACUUCGGGAUAAGCCUGGGAAACUGGGUCUAAUACCGGAUAGGAGCCAUUUUUAGUGUGAUGGUUGGAAAGUUUUUUCGGUGUAGGAUGCGCUCGCGGCCUAUCAGCUUGUUGGUGGGGUAAUGGCCUACCAAGGCGGCGACGGGUAGCCGGCCUGAGAGGGUGGACGGCCACAUUGGGACUGAGAUACGGCCCAGACUCCUACGGGAGGCAGCAGUGGGGAAUAUUGCACAAUGGGCGCAAGCCUGAUGCAGCGACGCCGCGUGGGGGAUGACGGCCUUCGGGUUGUAAACUCCUUUCGCUAGAGACGAAGCUUUUUGUGACGGUACCUAGAUAAGAAGCACCGGCUAACUACGUG
rnacentral:rRNA from 1 species